rnacentral:sRNA from 1 species
ACUCCACGCCCACCUCUCUCCUGGAGCGCUGGGCCUUCGCUGGCCGCACCGGCAGCCAUGAGCUCGGAGAUGGAGCCGCUGCUCCUGGCCUGGAGCUAUUUUAGGCGCAGGAAGUUCCAGCUCUGCGCCGAUCUAUGCACGCAGAUGCUGGAGAAGUCCCCUUAUGACCAGGCAGCUUGGAUCUUAAAAGCAAGAGCACUAACAGAAAUGGUAUACAUAGAUGAAAUUGAUAUAGAUCAGGAAGGAAUUGCAGAAAUGAUGCUGGAUGAAAAUGCUAUUGCUCAAGUUCCACGCCCUGGAACGUCUUUGAAACUCCCUGGAACUAAUCAGACAGGAGGGCCUAGUCAGGCCGUUAGGCCAAUCACACAAGCUGGAAGACCCAUUACAGGUUUCCUCAGGCCCAGCACACAGAGUGGAAGGCCAGGCACUAUGGAACAGGCUAUCAGAACACCCAGAACCGCCUACACAGCCCGCCCUAUCACCAGCUCCUCCGGAAGAUUUGUCAGGCUGGGAACGGUAAAUUCUAUCAGCUUUCCCAUAGCCUUGUAUUACUUUGGUAUUACCAAAGUAGCUUUAUAUUAUGGUAUAUCAUUUUCCCCUGUUGUUAUAGUGGAGAAUUAUAUGGAAGAUUUUUGAAGGUGAUUAUUUUUAUUUAUGUUGCCUUUAUAUUUUUAUGCAUAUUAAUCUUGUUUAUGUUUCAAAAGAAAGUUUCAGAUCUCUUGUUCUAUUGUUUUUCCUCUGUAGGCUUCCAUGCUUACAAGUCCUGAUGGACCAUUUAUAAAUUUAUCUAGGCUGAAUUUAACAAAGUAUUCCCAGAAACCUAAGUUGGCAAAGGCUUUGUUUGAGUAUAUCUUUCAUCAUGAAAAUGAUGUUAAGACUGCUUUGGAUCUGGCUGCCCUCUCCACAGAGCAUUCUCAGUACAAGGACUGGUGGUGGAAAGUAC